CCCUUAGAUGUUCUGGGCGGCACGCGCGCUACAGUGGUCUUCGCAAACGGAUGCAUUCUCGAAGGAGAAUGCCAAUCUUGGAAUCUAUGCCUUGGUCGGGACAGUUGCUUGCAAUUUUUCGACUCGAACCAGGAAUUCCUUGUAAUCGUGAUUCAUCACAUCACGAUGAAUACGUCCCUGCCCUUUGUACACACCGCCCGUCGCUCCUACCGAUCGAAGAGUUAGGUGAAUUGUUUUGAUCGAUAAGAUUUGACUAUGGUCAACUCUCGUUGUGAAAUUCUGUGAAUCUGACUGUUUAGAGGAAGGAAAAGUCGUAACA
rnacentral:rRNA from 1 species